CAGAAGUGCCAUACUACCCUGAAUGUGCCCGAUCUCGUCGGAUCUCAGAAGCUAAACAGAAAUUGAAACCCUGGUGGAGGUUCUUUUAU
rnacentral:rRNA from 1 species